UCGGGUUCGUUGGACAGAAGCGUCCUCUGGAGGGGGGUGUGCGUGAAAACUUGGGGCUGCCACCGAGGGCGGCGGCCGCUUCCUGCACCCCCGCGUCAGCCCCCAGCAGCUCCGCAGGCCGCCCGUCAGGAAGGGCACGCGAACGAUUCGGGUGCAGAUUUGCGCGUUGCUUUGUCUCAUUUGUUGGGUUUAAAGACUCCCUGGAAACCCCCGGCCUGGCCUCCCUCCUCCCGCCUGCAGUCCUGCCCCGGCACACGGGGCUGCGUGUCCUGGGCACUGGCGCCCUUGACCCCGCACAGCCGCGACUUCCCGGGCAGCAGUGGUCGCCCAGCUCCGACCAGCGGGGCGCGUGGGAGGGAGGGUGUGACCAGCGUCCGCCACCAGCGGUUCCGGUAAAGGCUCCGUGGAGCAGGACACACCUGCCGGCCUCCAGCAUCUGCAGGGUCGGUGACCAGCGCACCUCCGCGCCUGUGGCGUUUGCACAGAUGACGUGAAGGCAUCGGUGGGGCACAGACGCCAGCGGUCGGCGCCCUGCGGUGACUCGUCUCGGAGUGUGAGAAAGGGACGGUGUCGAGCGAGUUCUGUGGAAGGACCCGGGUCUGCGAAACUGCUUGGGAAGGUGCUGGCACCGGGUUUGAAUUCAUCCUCCUGAAAACCCAGCGCUGUGUUUACAAAACAGAAGAUUUUCCCUCCACUUCCUGUCCUGCAGCUAACAAGAGGUGGCUGUUCCAGACACCGCUGCCCCCAGGCUGCUGGCCGCCCCCCAGGGCCGCCCCCUCGGCAACCCGAGGCCCCGGGACUGUCACUCUACACGCUCUUCCAGAAAGUGUAAGAGAAGGGACAUUUCCCAGCUUCUUUUGUGAGGCCGACAUUUCCCUGACAACACCAAUAAGACAAAGACAGUCUAAGAAAAGAAAAUGACAUG